CAUAAAUGUAUGCCGCUCUCUGUACAAACUGCUAGGACAGCUAUUGGUUUUAACAGAAAAGCAGAGACAGAGAGAAAAAAAUCUUGCAGAUCGACGGGGUGGAUGCACAUUAAUCCAGAUCGGAUUUUUCUCCAUGCAGAAAUCAGGAGACGCCAUUGACGAAGACUGCCUUCGUGCCACAUGUGAAGAGUGGGGUUCUAUGUCAGCAGAAGAACAUGCAUGUGCUAUGGGCUGAUAUGAGGAACCUACGUUAGAUUCACACACAGUGACCACAUAGAGGACUCACCACAUGUGUAGUACUCCACUCUUUGUGAAAUUAUUUGCCUACAUUUUACAGUAUUAUCUGUAAAUGAACCACUGAUGAAGAGUUAAAUUCUAAAAUGCCAAACAAUGUUUUGUCAGCCAAAUCUGCAAUAGUAUUAUGAAAGUAAUGUUACAAAGACACAUGUUAAACAAAUCAGUACUGAUGUAAUGUAAUGCUUUUUAUAUCAUAUUACUCACACUUUGCUAUUUACAAUUACUGGCAUAUACAGUUAAUCAUUUAAAAAGCUGUUGAUUGGAGAGGAGCAAUCUUUUGUUUUUGUUCCAGAGAUAUGUACGAUAACAUGUUUAAGUUUUAAGUACCUGAGUUAUGGUCGGGGACUUUAUCCUAAGCCAGUAACUUACUCUGAAAUUAUUUAACAUACUAUAUAUGGUGUUCUGUUUAUAAUUAAUAACAAGACAGUUGCAUACAAGUUAAAAUGUACAUUUAUUAACAAAAUAUUGGCUACAUUCACCAUGGGGAAAAUGGCUGAGGUAAAACAAAGCAUUUGGAGAAAAGGAUAGAAUCAGAGGAAGAGCUGUGACAGAACUCAGUGUGAUGACUUCCUUUGUUAAAACGAAACAUUGUUCAUCAAACGUCAUAUGAAGUAUAAAAAUCCUGGACAUUUUUCAUGCCAAAAAUGUGUGUAGAAAGUUCAAAUCCAGCAGUUCAAACACUACUGGAUUUGGUCUUUCAAACACUCGGCAAUGUUUUUUAAAAAUAUAUCAUUUCCCAAAGGGGCUAAAUGAACUUGAUCACGCAAAAAAUGUCCAGGAUCUUUAUGCUGUAUCUGACGAUGAUGCACA